rnacentral:rRNA from 1 species
GAACGCUUGCCGGAUUUCGGUCCGGUGGGAGUGGCGCACGGGUGAGUAGCGCGUGGGAACCUGCCCUGUUGUGGGGGAUAACCGAGGGAAACUUCGGCUAAUACCGCAUGCGCCCCCGGGAGUGGUCUUCGGAUUAGUCCUGGGGGGAAAGAUUUAUCGCAGCAGGAGGGGCCCGCGUCGGAUUAGCUGGUUGGUGGGGUAACGGCCUACCAAGGCUCCGAUCCGUAGCUGGUCUGAGAGGAUGAUCAGCCACACUGGAACUGAGACACGGUCCAGACUCCUACGGGAGGCAGCAGUGGGGAAUCUUGCGCAAUGGACGAAAGUCUGACGCAGCGACGCCGCGUGGGUGAUGAAGGCCCUCGGGUUGUAAAGC